AUUGAACGCUGGCGGCAGGCCUAACACAUGCAAGUCGAACGAGUGGCGGACGGGUGAGUAAUGUCUGGGGAACUGCCCGAUGGAGGGGGAUAACUACUGGAAACGGUAGCUAAUACCGCAUACCAUCGGAUGAGCCCAUAUGGGAUUAGCUGGUAGGUGGGGUAACGGCUCACCUAGGCGACGAUCCCUAGCUGGUCUGAGAGGAUGAUCAGCCACACUGGGACUGAGACACGUUCCAGACUCCUACGGGAGGCAUCAGUGGGGAAUAUUGCACAAUGGGCGCAAGCCUGAUGCAGCCAUGCCGCGUGUAUGAAGAAGGCCUUAGGGUUGUAAAGUACGUGCAGCGGGGAGGCGUUACCCGCAGAAGAAGCACCGGCUAACUCCGUGCCAGCAGCCGCGGUAAUUC
rnacentral:rRNA from 1 species